GUUGAUCUGGCUCAGGAUGAACGCUAGCGGCAGGCUAACACAUGCAAGUCGAGGGGCAGCGCGAGUAGCAAUACUUGGCGGCGACCGGCGCAAGGGUGCGUAACGCGUGAGCAACAUGCCCGUAUCAGGGGGAUAAUCCAGGGAAACUUGGUCUAAUACCCCAUAGUAAUUUUGUAAGGCAUCUUAUAAGAUUUAAAGCUUUGGUGGAUACGGAUUGGCUCGCGUGACAUUAGCUGGAUGGUAAGGUAACGGCUUACCAUGGCUAUGAUGUCUAGGGGUUCUGAGAGGAAGGUCCCCCACACUGGAACUGAGACACGGUCCAGACUCCUACGGGAGGCAGCAGUGAGGAAUAUUGGACAAUGGAUGGAAAUCUGAUCCAGCCAUGCCGCGUGAAGGAAGAAGGUCCUAUGGAUUGUAAACUUCUUUUGUAUGGGAGCAAUAAGGCCUACGAGUAGGUUGAUGAGAGUACCAUACGAAUAAGCACCGGCUAACUCCGUGCCAGCCGCGGC
rnacentral:rRNA from 1 species